UACGAAGGGGGCUAGCGUUGUUCGGAAUUACUGGGCGUAAAGCGCACGUAGGCGGACAUUUAAGUCAGGGGUGAAAUCCCCAGAGCUCAACUCUGGAACUGCCUUUGAUACUGGGUGUCUUGAGUAUGGAAGAGGUGAGUGGAAUUCCGAGUGUAGAGGUGAAAUUCGUAGAUAUUCGGAGGAACACCAGUGGCGAAGGCGGCUCACUGGUCCAUUACUGACGCUGAGGAGCGAAAGCGUGGGGAGCGAACAGG
rnacentral:rRNA from 1 species